rnacentral:rRNA from 1 species
GACGAACGCUGGCGGCGUGCUUAACACAUGCAAGUCGAACGGAAAGGCCCUGCUUUUGUGGGGUGCUCGAGUGGCGAACGGGUGAGUAACACGUGAGUAACCUGCCCUUGACUUUGGGAUAACUUCAGGAAACUGGGGCUAAUACCGGAUAGGAGCUCCUGCUGCAUGGUGGGGGUUGGAAAGUUUCGGCGGUUGGGGAUGGACUCGCGGCUUAUCAGCUUGUUGGUGGGGUAGUGGCUUACCAAGGCUUUGACGGGUAGCCGGCCUGAGAGGGUGACCGGCCACAUUGGGACUGAGAUACGGCCCAGACUCCUACGGGAGGCAGCAGUGGGGAAUAUUGCACAAUGGGCGGAAGCCUGAUGCAGCAACGCCGCGUGCGGGACGACGGCCUUCGGGUUGUAAACCGCUUUCGCCUGUGACGAAGCGUGAGUGACGGUAUGGGUAAAGAAGCACCGGCUAACUACGUGCCAGCAGCCGCGGUGAUACGUAGGGUGCGAGCGUUGUCCGGAUUUAUUGGGCGUAAAGGGCUCGUAGGUGGUUGAUCGCGUCGGAAGUGUAAUCUUGGGGCUUAACCCUGAGCGUGCUUUCGAUACGGGUUGACUUGAGGAAGGUAGGGGAGAAUGGAAUUCCUGGUGGAGCGGUGGAAUGCGCAGAUAUCAGGAGGAACACCAGUGGCGAAGGCGGUUCUCUGGGCCUUUCCUGACGCUGAGGAGCGAAAGCGUGGGGAGCGAACAGGCUUAGAUACCCUGGUAGUCCACGCUGUAAACGGUGGGUACUAGGUGUGGGGUCCAUUCCACGGGUUCCGUGCCGUAGCUAACGCUUUAAGUACCCCGCCUGGGGAGUACGGCCGCAAGGCUAAAACUCAAAGGAAUUGACGGGGCCCCGCACAAGCGGCGGAGCAUGCGGAUUAAUUCGAUGCAACGCGUAGAACCUUACCUGGGUUUGACAUGGAUCGGGAGCGCUCAGAGAUGGGUGUGCCUCUUUUGGGGUCGGUUCACAGGUGGUGCAUGGCUGUCGUCAGCUCGUGUCGUGAGAUGUUGGGUUAAGUCCCGCAACGAGCGCAACCCUUGUUCACUGUUGCCAGCACGUUAUGGUGGGGACUCAGUGGAGACCGCCGGGGUCAACUCGGAGGAAGGUGGGGAUGACGUCAAGUCAUCAUGCCCCUUAUGUCCAGGGCUUCACGCAUGCUACAAUGGCUGGUACAGAGAGUGGCGAGCCUGUGAGGGUGAGCGAAUCUCGGAAAGCCGGUCUCAGUUCGGAUUGGGGUCUGCAACUCGACCUCAUGAAGUCGGAGUCGCUAGUAAUCGCAGAUCAGCAACGCUGCGGUGAAUACGUUCCCGGGGCU